rnacentral:lncRNA from 1 species
GGUUCUAUCUGACCUACAGUCCAAGAAUUCUGGACAGAAGUCGGUGCUAGAGCCAGCUCAGGAGCUCAGCGACACUGAGUGUCACCACUGUCUGGAUGGUUCUCUGGAGCUUUCACUUUCGUUUGUGACCUUGUAACUGCAACAUGACUGCACCCCACCUGCAGCCCACGUGCUGCAGCCCUGUGUCCAAUCCAGGAAGAAGAGGAGAGGACUGCCGGGUCUGGCCUUUUUAUGAGAAAAGCAAAGAUUUCCCAGAAACCUACCCACAGACUUCCGUAUCCGUUUCAUUUGCCCAAUGUGUCACACGGCCACCUCUGGAUGCAGUGGAAGCCAGAAGGGCAGGUAGUCGUCGGAUCCAGCUCCCCCUGCUGAUGAGCUUCCGAGGAGAAGGCAGACAAGGGAGGAAGCUGCCAGGCCUGCAGACGGGCACGCAUACAAGACAGCAAUGUGCAAAUCCACCAAAGUGGACCCGCCAUUUUCCCCAAGAUCUCCAACUCAGCCAAAUCCAGCUGAGAUGUUAAACAGAGAGUCCACUGGUGACAGGAAGCCCAGCCAGCUUCAAGCCAACGCGUCUGGUCUAAUGAAAAGGGCUUUGGCUGGUGGCCCUAAAGGCAACAAGUACAAUCCUCUGAGAUGGCUGAGGCAACUCCUUCAUCCCCUUUCUCUGCAGCCCUGGCAGCUGCACUUGCUCCAGCGCAAAGAAAUGCUGAAGCAGCAGGACAGCUAGGACCGAGUCCACCAUUCACAGAGGACAGGAAGGAAAGGGCUGUGCAUUCCUUCUCAGCUUCUCCUCAGGGAGAGAGGCAAAAAGCCAGCAGCUGUGGCUUCUCACCCAUUUCCAUAACCAUCAAAGAUGUGUGCAGCCCCUCUGAGCCAGGUGCUGGGCAAGGUGCUGUGGGACAUGCAAAGAUGAAAAUCCAGGCUCUGCCCUUUGUGAGCUUGUAGCCCAGAAAAGGGACAAGGUCAGCACAGAAGGCCCAAACAGACAGGAAAAGGGGUCAGACACAGCCUCAUGGGGGAGCAAUCAAUGCAAGAGCCCCCCGAAACCAGCAACUACCUACUGCUGGUUGGACUGGACUGUGCUGUGGGAAGGAACACAUACAUCCUCUCCCACCUCGGGAAUUCAGUCACGUGGGGGGAACAAAGGAAGAACAGCAAACACACACCUCCAGGCCAAUGCUGUGUACACAGUCACAGCAGAGCGCAGUGAGCAGAGAGAGCACGGUGGCGCGCACUUGAGCUGAGUCUGCAAAGCUCAGCAAGGAUUUCAGCAGAGCGGGGAGGAGAGGAAAUCAGUGUUCCAGCCAGAGGGAGCAGUGCACGCCAAGACAGAUGCAGUGAUGUUCAGGCAUGUCCAGGGACGGCCCGGAACUGGAGGAGAAGAGCAGGUGGUGCCAAGGAGAAGAGGAAAAGGAACGAAAGCAAUACUGUCUUCUCGCCCGCUGCCUCCCACAGCCUGAGGCUGCCCCACUCGGAGUUCAAGUCUGACAGUCCAAUCACAUACGAGGAGUUCCUAAAGAGGACAACAUGAGUGGAAAUCCCAGUGCCAAGCCAGGGGCCCUGGUCACCUGUGACAAAGGGAAGAAAGACGUCUAGCAGAGCCGCAAGCCAGCCCAGGCCAGGAGGCCCCUGCUGGCCAAGACACAGCAUUGUGUUCCCUCCUCCUCCAACCUCACCCCAUGGAGGAAUGAGGGCAAAAAUGAAGGUCUCACCAUCCGUACAGGGAGGGGCCUGGAUUAGCUGUCCCUGAGGUUUUUCCCCUGGCCUACGUCAGCGAUCUCUGAGGAUGAGCAACAUAAAAGGGAAGCUGGCUGGAGGGAAGUGGGGCAGUUUUCCAGCUCAGAUGCUAAGAGUGACAGCAGUG